rnacentral:rRNA from 1 species
UAUCCAUUGGAGGGCAAGUCUGGUGCCAGCAGCUGCGGUAAUACCAGCUCCAAUAGCGUAUAUUAAAGUUGUUGCAGUUAAAAAGCUCGUAGUUGGACUUGUGUGCGCUGUCCGCGGGUGGCCUGCGCCCAAAAGGGCGUUUCGGUUCGGCCCCGGUGGCGCCUUGAAAUCUGCAGCUGGGGGGACGUUGGCCUUAACUGGUCAGCGACCGCACGCCGGCUGCUCGGUUACUGUGAGAAAAUUAGAGUGUUCAAGGCAGGCAUUGGGUGCAAUUGAAUACAUUAGCAUGGAAUAAUAAAAUAUGGCUCCUGCCGUAUUUUGUUGGUUUUGACUGGUGGGAGUAAUGAUUGAUAGGGACGGUUGGGGGUGCUAGUAUUGAGCGGCCAGAGGUGAAAUUCAUGGAUUCGCUCAAGACUAACUUAUGCGAAAGCAUUCACCAAGGACGUCCUCUUUAAUCAAGAACGAAAGUUGGGGGAUCGAAGACGAUCAGAUACCGUCGUAGUCUCAACCAUAAACUAUGUCGACUUGGGAUCGGCGGUAGUUUUUUCAUUAAGACACUGUCGGGACCACGGGAGAAAUCAAAGUGUCUGGACUCUGGGGGAAGUAUGGUCGCAAGGCUGAAACUUGAAGGAAUUGACGGAAGGGCACCACCAGGAGUGGAGCCUGCGGCCUAAUUUGACUCAACACGGGGAAACUUACCAGGUCCAGAGAUGUAGAGGAUUGACAGAUUGAAGCUCUUUCUUGAUCACUUCGGUGGUGGUGCAUGGCCGUUCUUAGUUGGUGGAGUGAUUUGUCUGGUUAAUUCCGUUAACGAACGAGACCUCAGCCUGCUAGUGUAGUCGGCUGGAUUGCCUUUGGCGAUCCGUGAUUUCGACUUCUUAGAGGGACAAUCGACGCGCAGUCGAUGGAAGUUUGAGGCAAUAACAGGUCUGUGAUGCCCUUAGAUGUUCUGGGCCGCACGCGCGCUACACUGCUGGGCUCAGCGAGUUUUACUUGGCCGAGAGGCCCGGUUAAUCUUGUGAAAUCCCAGCGUGCUUGGGCUCGCCUCCUGCAACUGGAGGCGCCAACGAGGAAUUCCUAGUAGACGCAGGUCAUCAACCUGCAUCGAUUACGUCCCUGCCCUUUGUACACACCGCCCGUCGUUCCAUAAGAGUGAGGCAUCCGGUGAAUUCUCGGGAGAGCCUGGGCGUGGCCAGCAAUGGUCUGCUCGGGUUUGAACUUGCAUAAACUUGGUGCCUAUGAUUAGGG